CCUACGGGGGGCAGCAGUGAGGAAUAUUGGUCAAUGGACGAGAGUCUGAACCAGCCAAGUAGCGUGAAGGAUGACUGCCCUAUGGGUUGUAAACUUCUUUUAUAUGGGAAUAAAACGUUCCACGUGUGGGAUUUUGUAUGUACCAUAUGAAUAAGGAUCGGCUAACUCCGUGCCAGCAGCCGCGGUAAUACGGAGGAUCCGAGCGUUAUCCGGAUUUAUUGGGUUUAAAGGGAGCGUAGGUGGAUUGUUAAGUCAGUUGUGAAAGUUUGCGGCUCAACCGUAAAAUUGCAGUUGAAACUGGCAGUCUUGAGUACAGUAGAGGUGGGCGGAAUUCGUGGGGUAGCGGUGAAAUGCUUAGAUAUCACGAAGAACUCCGAUUGCGAAGGCAGUUCACUGGACUGCAACUGACACUGAGGCUCGAAAGUGUGGGUAUCAAACAGGAUUAGAUACCCCGGUAGUC
rnacentral:rRNA from 1 species